UGUCAAUACAAGUUGGAUGGGUGUCAC
rnacentral:piRNA from 1 species